UACAGAGGGUGCGAGCGUUAAUCGGAUUUACUGGGCGUAAAGGGCGCGUAGGCGGUUAUAUGAGUGUGAUGUGAAAGCCCCGGGCUUAACCUGGGAAGCGCAUCGCAAACGAUAUAUCUGGAGUAGAUGAGAGGGUGGCGGAAUUUCCGGUGUAGCGGUGAAAUGCGUAGAGAUCGGAAGGAACGUCGGUGGCGAAGGCAGCCACCUGGCAUCAUACUGACGCUGAGGCGCGAAAGCGUGGGGAGCGAACAGG
rnacentral:rRNA from 1 species